rnacentral:rRNA from 1 species
AGGACGAACGCUGGCGGCGUGCUUAACACAUGCAAGUCGAACGGAAAGGCCCGCUUGCGGGUACUCGAGUGGCGAACGGGUGAGUAACACGUGAGUAACCUGCCCUUGACUCUGGGAUAAGCACUGGAAACGGUGUCUAAUACCGGAUACGAGCUUCAGCCGCAUGGCUAGGAGUUGGAAAGAAUUUCGGUCAAGGAUGGACUCGCGGCCUAUCAGGUAGUUGGUGAGGUAAUGGCCCACCAAGCCUACGACGGGUAGCCGGCCUGAGAGGGUGACCGGCCACACUGGGACUGAGACACGGCCCAGACUCCUACGGGAGGCAGCAGUGGGGAAUAUUGCACAAUGGGCGCAAGCCUGAUGCAGCAACGCCGCGUGAGGGACGACGGCCUUCGGGUUGUAAACCUCUUUAGUAGGGAAGAAGCGAAAGUGACGGUACCUGCAGAAAAGCACCGGCUAACUACGUGCCAGCAGCCGC